UACAGAGGGUGCAAGCGUUGUCCGGAAUCACUGGGCGUAAAGGGCGCGUAGGCGGCUCGUGAAGUCGGGUGUGAAAGCCCGGGGCUCAACCCCGGAACGGCAUCCGAUACUGGCGGGCUUGAGACCGGGAGAGGAGGGUGGAAUACCCAGUGUAGAGGUGAAAUUCGUAGAUAUUGGGUGGAAUACCGGUGGCGAAAGCGGCUCUCUGGCCCGGAUCUGACGCUGAGGCGCGAAAGCGUGGGGAGCAAACAGG
rnacentral:rRNA from 1 species